GUUGACCUCGGAUCAGGUAGGAAUACCCGCUGAACUUAAGCAUAUCAAUAAGCGGAGGAAAAGAAACCAACAGGGAUUGCCCUAGUAACGGCGAGUGAAGCGGCAACAGCUCAAAUUUGAAAUCUGGCUCUCGGGCCCGAGUUGUAAUUUGCAGAGGAUGUUUUUGAUGCGGUGCCUUCCGAGUUCCCUGGAACGGGACGCCAUAGAGGGUGAGAGCCCCGUCUGGUUGGAUGCCAAAUCUCUGUAAAACUCCUUCGACGAGUCGAGUAGUUUGGGAAUGCUGCUCUAAAUGGGAGGUAUAUGUCUUCUAAAGCUAAAUACCGGCCAGAGACCGAUAGCGCACAAGUAGAGUGAUCGAAAGAUGAAAAGCACUUUGAAAAGAGAGUUAAAAAGUACGUGAAAUUGUUGAAAGGGAAGCGUUUGUGACCAGACUUGGGCUUGGUUAAUCAUCUGGGGUUCUCCCCAGUGCACUUCUCCAGCUCAGGCCAGCAUCAGUUUUCCCCGGGGGACAAAGACUCUGGGAAUGUGGCUCACCUCGGUGAGUGUUAUAGCCCACUGUGUAAUACCCUGGGGGGGACUGAGGUUCGCGCAUCUGCAAGGAUGCUGGCGUAAUGGUCAUCAACGAC
rnacentral:rRNA from 1 species